CCUACGGGAGGCAGCAGUAGGGAAUAUUGCUCAAUGGGGGAAACCCUGAAGCAGCCACGCCGCGUGGAGGAUGAAGGUUUUAGGAUUGUUAACUCCUUUUGUUAGAGAAGUUUAUGACGGUAUCUAACGAAUAAGCAACGGCUAACUCCGUGCCAGCAGCCGCGGUAAUACGGAGGGUGCCAGCGUUACUCGGAAUCACUGGGCGUAAAGCGUGCGUAGGCGGGGUAAUAAGUCAGAUGUGAAAUCCUGUAGCUUAACUACAGAACUGCAUUUGAAACUGUUACUCUGGAGUGUGGGAGAGGUAGGUGGAAUUCGUGGUGUAGGGGUAAAAUCCGUAGAGAUCAAGAGGAAUACUCAUUGCGAAGGCGACCUGCUGGAACAUUACUGACGCUGAUGCACGAAAGCGUGGGGAGCAAACAGGAUUAGAUACCCGAGUAGUC
rnacentral:rRNA from 1 species